UGACUUACCUGUCAGGGGUGAUACGAUGAUCAAGAAGGUGGUUUGCCCAGGGCGAGGCUCGGCCACUGCACUCAGAUCUCACCCCUGCAAUUCCCUCAAAUGUAGGAAUCUCGACUGCACAAUUUCUGGUAGUGGGGGAAUGCGUUCGCGCCCUCCCCUA